UCGGGUAAUCGUCGGUUCGUCUGAACCGACCUGCAGUGCAGAGUCGGAAUGGGGGGCUUGGCCCCAGUCCAGCACAGUCAAAAUUAGCUCUCUGUUGAAUUACAUGCAGUCAGCCAGUGGAAGCGGCUGAGAUCUUGACGCCCCAGUCCCGCAGCCUUGUACGGGGGUCCAAACCCCGCAAGGCUGCUGCUCGGGUCCGCUUUCGUCCAAGAACGCCUUUUCCAACAGCAACUUUACAGCAAAGGACAAGAACAAAGACUUUAUCUCUUGUUUCUUCAAAAUGACACCAACAGGAGCAAUGGGGGAUCCCAUUAGAGCUCAAAGCGGUGUUCCUGAACCUGGUGGCGCGGAGAGGAACGACCACGAAAGAUCGACAUUCCUUCUGUCGGAUGCAGGAUAGAGAACGGCCCUCUGGGGAAAUUGUAUCCUCAUGUUUAUUCUUUUUUAUUUCCUAAAUCAUGUAUAUCCUUAUUUUUUAUGGUUAUGGCGUGCGGUACAGAUGAAUUAUGACGCUGGGGCUAUUUCCCCAUCUAUGUGAUUAAUAGCAUUUUAGAAAAACCUGGGACUCUAAGCCUUGAUGAUAUGCUCUUCGGAGGGGGCGGCAGUAAAGACACACAGCACCUCAAGACAGACCUGACAGACUGGAGCUUCACUAAAGACCCACAUGUCUGUGUUUGCAAACUCCACAGGGGCCCUCGGGGGUCCGGCGGCAGCGGCACGUCUUCCACUUGUCCACUUCAACUUUACACGGCUGGACUCUUU